GAUGAACGCUAGCGAUAGGCUUAACACAUGCAAGUCGAGGGGUAACGUGUUGGAAGCUUGCUUCCGAUGACGACGACCGGCGGAUGGGUGCGUAACGCGUAUGCAACUUGCCUCACAGUGGAGAAUAACCCGGAGAAAUCCGGACUAAUACUCCAUACACUCUUAAGUACGCCUGUACAUGAGAGGAAAGAUUUAUCGCUGUGAGAUAGGCAUGCGUCCUAUUAGGUCGUUGGUGAGGUAACGGCUCACCAAGCCGACGAUAGGUAGGGGUGCUGAGAGGCAGAUCCCCCACAUUGGGACUGAGACACGGCCCAAACUCCUACGGGAGGCAGCAGUGAGGAAUAUUGGUCAAUGGAGGAAACUCUGAACCAGCCAAGUCGCGUGAAGGAAGAAUGUCCUAAGGAUUGUAAACUUCUUUAGCGAGCGAGUAAGGACUUCCACGUGAUGGGAGUUUGAAAGUAGCUCGAGAAUAAGUAUCGGCUAACUCCGUG
rnacentral:rRNA from 1 species